AGUGAACGCUGGCGGUAGGCCUAACACAUGCAAGUCGAACGGCAGCACAGUAAGAGCUUGCUCUUACGGGUGGCGAGUGGCGGACGGGUGAGGAAUACAUCGGAAUCUACUUUUUCGUGGGGGAUAACGUAGGGAAACUUACGCUAAUACCGCAUACGACCUACGGGUGAAAGCAGGGGAUCUUCGGACCUUGCGCGAUUGAAUGAGCCGAUGUCGGAUUAGCUAGUUGGCGGGGUAAAGGCCCACCAAGGCGACGAUCCGUAGCUGGUCUGAGAGGAUGAUCAGCCACCCUGGAACUGAGACACGGUCCAGACUCCUAAGGGAGGCAGCAGUGGGGAAUAUUGGACAAUGGGCGCAAGCCUGACCCAGCCAUACCGCGUGGGUGAAGAAGGCCUUCGGGUCGUAAAGCCCUUUUGUUGGGAAAGAAAAGCAGCAGGUUAAUACCCCGCUGUUCUGACGGUACCCAAAGAAUAAGCACCGGCUAACUUCGUG
rnacentral:rRNA from 1 species